rnacentral:rRNA from 1 species
CGCGUAGGCGGACUAUUAAGUUGGUGGUGAAAUUCCGAGGCUCAACCUCGGAACUGCCUCCAAAACUGGUGGUCUUGAGGUAUGGAGAGGGAAGUGGAAUUCCAGGUGUAGCGGUGAAAUGCGUAGAUAUCUGGAGGAACACCUGUGGCGAAGGCGGCUCACUGGACCAUUACUGACGCUGAUGCACGAAAGCUAGGGGAGCAAACAGGAUUAGAUACCCUGGUAGUCCUAGCCCUAAACGAUGAUCGCUUGGUGUGACAGGUACCCAAUCCUGUCGUGCCGGAGCUAACGCGUUAAGCGAUCCGCCUGGGGAGUACGGUCGCAAGGCUGAA